CAAAUAAAGAAGGCAUGCCUUUUUAGAACCUUGUGCCUGCAAUAAAGGUACACACUUAGGUGCCAGGGUUUGAGCCUGGUUAGCCUUAUCCUAACGCAUGCCUUUUUAAAUGAAUAUAUCGAUGUGUCACAAAGAGAAAUUUACAUGACAAGGAUAGGUCAUUCCUAAGCAUAAGCCUCAACAAGAAAUAAUUGAGAAAGAUUUAAGGUAUGCUUCAAUUUUUUGCAUUAAACAGUAAAAUGCACAUGUAAAGUUCAUAUCAUAUAUAGUUAGGGCCAAGGCUUAUUGCGGCCCUCUAUAAUAAUUUUUUAUUACCUACCCAUAUUAAAAAUUAGAGCUAAAAUCAAUCGUGGAAGGGUUGCCGUUCUACCAUUUAAAACAACUAAACAUACAGAGAAGAUAGUCCAUUAUUAAACUUGAUGCAAUUCACAUGAUAGUUUAAAUACUGCUUGAUC
rnacentral:misc_RNA from 1 species